rnacentral:misc_RNA from 1 species
GUUGAUCAAGAUCUGAUCAAUUCUUUCAAGGAGUUGCCUGAGGAAUAUAAGGCAAGGUAUGCGAGGUUCCUUCUUAGAUCCUAUGUGGAAGAGUGUGGGAAAAGGAGAAUCAAGUGGUGCCCAGGACCUGGAUGUGAGAAUGCUGUGGAGUUUUCUUCUGGGAAUUGUAAAAACUUCGAUGUGUUGUGUGAUUGUUCUCAUGAAUUUUGCUGGAAUUGUCCAGCAGACGAGGCUCACAGUCCGGCGAAUUGCGAGAUGG